AGAGUUUGAUCAUGCCUUUGAUUGAACGCUGGCGGCAGGCCUAACACAUGCAAGUCCAGCGGUAGAGAGGUGCUUGCACCUCUUGAGAGCGGCGGACGGGUGAGUAAAGCCUAGGAAUCUGCCUGGUAGUGGGGGAUAACGCUCGGAAACGGACGCUAAUACCGCAUACGUCCUACGGGAGAAAGCAGGGGACCUUCGGGCCUUGCGCUAUCAGAUGAGCCUAGGUCGGAUUAGCUAGUUGGUGAGGUAAUGGCUCACCAAGGCGACGAUCCGUAACUGGUCUGAGAGGAUGAUCAGUCACACUGGAACUGAGACACGGUCCAGACUCCUACGGGAGGCAGCAGUGGGGAAUAUUGGACAAUGGGCGAAAGCCUGAUCCAGCCAUGCCGCGUGUGUGAAGAAGGUCUUCGGAUUGUAAAGCACUUUAAGUUGGGAGGAAGGGCAUUAACCUAAUACGUUAGUGUUUUGACGUUACCGACAGAAUAAGCACCGGCUAACUCUGUGCCAGCAGCCGCGGUAAUACAGAGGGUGCAAGCGUUAAUCGGAAUUACUGGGCGUAAAGCGCGCGUAGGUGGUUCGUUAAGUUGGAUGUGAAAUCCCCGGGCUCAACCUGGGAACUGCAUUCAAAACUGUCGAGCUAGAGUAU
rnacentral:rRNA from 1 species